CUAAGAGUCUCUGCAGAGUCGAA
rnacentral:piRNA from 1 species